rnacentral:tRNA from 1 species
GUCAGGAUUGCCGAGCGGUAAGGCGCUGCGUUCAGGUCGCAGUCUAUUCUUGUAGGCGUGGGUUCGAAUCCCAAUUCUGAAU